CAAGUCGAACGCAAGGCUUCGGCCUUGAGUGGCGCACGGGUGAGUAGCGCGUGGGAACCUGCCCUGGAGUGGGGGAUAACCGAGGGAAACUUCGGCUAAUACCGCAUGCGCCCGGAGCAAUCCGGGGAAAGAUUUAUCGCUCUAGGAGGGGCCCGCGUCGGAUUAGCUAGUUGGUGGGGUAACGGCCUACCAAGGCGAUGAUCCGUAGCUGGUCUGAGAGGAUGAUCAGCCACACUGGGACUGAGACACGGCCCAGACUCCUACGGGAGGCAGCAGUGGGGAAUAUUGGACAAUGGGCGAAAGCCUGAUCCAGCAAUGCCGCGUGAGUGAGGAAGGCCUUAGGGUUGUAAAGCUCUUUCGGCGGGGACGAUGAUGACGGUACCCGCAGAAGAAGCCCCGGCUAACUUCGUGCCAGCAGCCGCGGUAAUACGAAGGGGGCGAGCGUUGUUCGGAUUUACUGGGCGUAAAGGGCGCGCAGGCGGUUCUGUUUGUCGAGUGUGAAAGCCCCGGGCUCAACCUGGGAACUGCGCUCGAAACGGCGGAACUAGAGUUCGGGAGAGGAGAGUGGAAUUCCCAGUGUAGAGGUGAAAUUCGUAGAUAUUGGGAAGAACACCGGUGGCGAAGGCGGCUCUCUGGACCGAUACUGACGCUGAGGCGCGAAAGCGUGGGGAGCAAACAGGAUUAGAUACCCUGGUAGUCCACGCUGUAAACGAUGUGUGCUAGACGUUGGGGAGCCUAGCUCUUCGGUGUCGCAGCUAACGCGGUAAGCACACCGCCUGGGGAGUACGGCCGCAAGGUUAGAACUCAAAGGAAUUGAC
rnacentral:rRNA from 1 species